GCUUUGCCUUCAUGGCACUAGGAUUAGGCAAUGGUUAUGGUUAGAGUUAGGUGUCUUGAAGUCAACGGUCACAGCGCUGCCUGGAA